rnacentral:rRNA from 1 species
UACGUAGGGGGCGAGCGUUGUCCGGAGUUACUGGGCGUAAAGCGCUUGUAGGCGAUCCACCAAGUUUGGGGUGACAGUUGCCGACUUAAUCGGCAAAGUGCCUCAAAGACUGGCGGACUUGAGGGCCACAGAGGGACAUGGAACUCCAGGUGUAGUGGUGAAAUGCGUAGAUAUCUGGAAGAACACCAAAGGCGAAGGCAGUGUCCUGGGUGGUCGCCGACGCUGAGAGGCGAAAGCCAGGGGAGCGAAUGGG